rnacentral:lncRNA from 1 species
UGUAGGUCCAGAUUCCACGGUCAACAUCCAAUAAAACCCCCGAUAGAUACCGCCAUACCCGACGACUGCAGCUUAAAAUUGCAGCUAUCAAGGGAAAAAUUCUUCUCUUCGUUUAGAUUUCCGAGAGCAAGACUAGUCGAUAAAGAUGCAGAUCUUCGUGAAAACAUUAACUGGAAAGACCAUUACUCUCGAGGUUGAGAGCAGCGAUACUAUCGACAAUGUCAAGACAAAGAUUCAGGUUUCUGAUCUUGAUUUUCUGUUUAUUCUUUGUGAUUUAGUUAUAUUUAUUAUAAUUUGGGGAUUUUACUGCUUUUCUAUUGUUGAAGUGUUUGUUUUCAUUGGUUUGUGGUACAUAUAGAGCUAUGGAUUUGAAUUAUUGUUUCUGCUGGGGUUUUGCUAUUGAUUAAGUUUCUUCUGAUAUGUGAUUCUUCUGUGUGUGCAGAGGCUAUGUCCAUAUAUGAGAGCAUGCUUACAAGCAUAUUGUUUUGUAUAUACUAUUGAUCACCAUUGAGUCUUGGCGGGAAAUUAAAAAUGCUAGUACAUGUAUUUAACCUUUUGGGUAGGAAACAAAAAAUAAAAAUAAAAUAUAAAAAAAUCAGCGUUGAGCUAUUUCACUGUUUCACAUCGGUGGCAUGGAAGGAGAAAUGUAUAAGCCUCAAAUAACUUUUCUAAACAAUGCUUUGAAUACUCGGAUAAAUGCAAAUACAUGUGUUGAGCAAGGCCCUGUAUGUGUAUGUAUGAGUAAUGAGUGGUUGUAGUUUUUCAUUUUUCAUAUAGUCGUGAUCCUCUACAUUACAUGCUCUUGUUUGUGCUAGAAAGUGUUGUAUAAAUUUCAGUAAGCAGCAGUUAAUAUUUAUAAUUAGAGACCGCGUGUAAUGUUGACUCGCUAAGCAUAUAUUUAUAAAUUGUUUAUAAUCACUAAAAGACACUUUUUUUUCACACAUUUUGAGGACCACAAGUACUAUCCACUAUUCACAACUUAUUUCUAUCUAUUUAUAUUUUAAACCGUUUAUAAACAUUUCUCAAACAUGCUUUAAUUGCUUGAUAACAAUUUUGAAUAUCUUCAUUUUGGUAAUUGUCAUGAAUUUAAGCUAACAUGAAAAUUACUUCUACCAGGAUAAAGAAGGUAUACCUCCUGACCAGCAGAGGCUUAUAUUUGCUGGUAAACAAUUGGAAGAUGGCCGGACCUUGGCAGAUUACAAUAUCCAAAAGGAAUCAACACUUCACCUUGUUUUGAGGCUUAGGGGAGGAACUAUGAUCAAGGUGAAGACACUCACAGGAAAAGAAAUUGAAAUAGAUAUUGAGCCAACUGAUACUAUUGAACGUAUCAAGGAGCGGGUUGAGGAGAAGGAAGGAAUACCUCCAGUCCAACAAAGGUUUGUGAUAAGCUUUUCUUUGAUAAUCUUAUCUCAUGCCUACCAAUUUUA